UCUACGAGCAGCCAUCUCCCUCAAUCCCUGCCACCAGACGCCCUUUGCAGCCUCUCUCUCUCUCUCUCUCUCUCUCUCUCUCUCUCUCUCUCUCUCUCUCUCUCUCUCUCUCUCUCUCUCUCAAUGCAACCCUGGCCGUGCAGCCCUCUCUCUCCCUUCUUCAAUCCCUCCCUCAACGAAGCAACCAUAGCAUGGGUCCAGAUCUGGAUCUGGAUUCAACGGUUCUGGCUCGGGAUUUGGACAUGAUUCAGGAUCAGGAAGCGGUUAUAGGUCAGGCUGUGUCAUAUCUUUCCAUAUCAGUGGGUAGGUCUCAUCCAUGAUAGGGUGGGACACUCAAUUCUUCUGUCCUCAUGCUGUUCUCCUAAUGUCAUUUUCCUCCAAAAUCCUAAGCUUGUAUCCUUCCUAUAAUAAAAACACCUAGGGAAAUUGUUCUUAGUAUGUGAUCUGUGCUAAUUGUGCUACUCGGUCCAAUCAGACUACUCUAAUCCAGCAGCAAAUCUUUGCUAAUUGUGCUACUCAAUCCAAUGAGACUACUCUAAUCCAGCAGCAAAUCUGUAUUAAUUAUGCUAUUCAAUCCAAUCAGACUACUCUAAUCUGGCAAGGUAGAUCGGAAAUAGACAACAAGGUGGUUUUUGGAUUGCAAGUUAAUUUACAUAAGCUACUUAUGCCUCAAGCAGCUUA